rnacentral:rRNA from 1 species
GACGAACGCUGGCGGCGUGCUUAACACAUGCAAGUCGAGCGAAUGGAUUAAGAGCUUGCUCUUAUGAAGUUAGCGGCGGACGGGUGAGUAACACGUGGGUAACCUGCCCAUAAGACUGGGAUAACUCCGGGAAACCGGGGCUAAUACCGGAUAACAUUUUGAACCGCAUGGUUCGAAAUUGAAAGGCGGCUUCGGCUGUCACUUAUGGAUGGACCCGCGUCGCAUUAGCUAGUUGGUGAGGUAACGGCUCACCAAGGCAACGAUGCGUAGCCGACCUGAGAGGGGGAUCGGCCACACUGGGACUGAGACACGGCCCAGACUCCUACGGGAGGCAGCAGUAGGGAAUCUUCCGCAAUGGACGAAAGUCUGACGGAGCUACGCCGCGUGAGUGAUGAAGGCUUUCGGGUCGUAAAACUCUGUUGUUAGGGAAGAACAAGUGCUAGUUGAAUAAGCUGGCACCUUGACGGUACCUAACCAGAAAGCCACGGCUAACUACGUGCCAGCAGCCGCAGUAA